UCCGAGACGUUCUUCCCGUUGCUCUUUUGCCUUUUCUCGGGCCCGAGACUUUCUUCCCGUUGCUACUUUCACUUUGAAUCCAUCCUCACUCCUUAAUGCCUCCGCGAAGGAGACCAGAACCGGAACCCAACAUGUGCGGCUGCGGCAGCUGCAGCGGUGGCAGCCGAGGAGGAAGAAGUGCCGACCACAUUUGGGCCUGGAUUUCGUCUUCUCGCCUCUCGGUUUCCUAGGCGGUGGUGACUUUGCUGCCCGAUCCCUCAUUUUCGUGCCGACCGCAAGUUCCCACUUCUCGAUCUGUUUUUUCUCCAGUAGUGAACAAAUCUCCCGCUAUAAUCUCUCUCGUGGCUCAGACACCUUGUGUCAUCGUACCAGCUGCAAAGAAUGUUGGGCGUUAUACUUGGCAGAUGAAAGGGUUCGUCCCUUUCGCUGCCGCAAACGGCAGUUUGCUGGAAACGCCAAGGAGACGAAGGGGCGUCCUUUCCCCUUCGUCUUCCUCAGCCUUCUUAUAAAAGGCGUCCAAGGCAAUCAGAGAGGGCAGAGGUUGAUGCGAAGGUAAUCAGCGAGUAGAGGCGUGAGGUGAUCAAUGAGCAAAGAGAGAAUGGCUAGGGACGGGAUUUGGUUUGUGGAAGAGUCCGAGAAGGUUCCGUGUGGUGAUCUUCUCGGCGACAGCAGCAGUGACGUCUCCGGCAGUUCAUCGGCGACUUCAUCGACCGGCGUCUUCGGUUGCGGUUCUUCGGGAGAUCAAUGUUGAGGGAUUUGUGCAAUCCAUGCAGAAACAGAUCCAAUCUGCUGGAAAACAUGGGUUUUUCUUCAAAAAAUCCGUAGGUCCUCAAGUUCAUAAAAAGUUCACAUUGGAAGAUAUGCGUUGUUUUCAAAACGUGAAGCUUGUCUGAGCAACAUAAGCUUAGACAUAAAAAGAAACAUUCUCCUUGGAACUUAUUUUGAUAUGCUAAAUUAUGGUAUGACAGGAUCCAAUAUCUACUUCGCUCGUCAAAAUAAGCAGUGACCUGGUGAGCUUUUCUGUGAAGUUAUUCCAGAUGAUCUGAAAGUACAUGAGAAUUGAUUCUUUUGAUAAAAUAAUGCCAUUUAGUGUUGAAGAAAGCGUAGACCUUGUUGCAAAAAUCUAUAAGCAUACUCUGAAGUGUUAUGAACUUCAAGGUGAACUUUUUGUCCAGAUUUCAAAGCAAACUCAUAAUAAUCUUGAUAGGUAUCUGAUCUAAUCUCGCCUAAGAUAAAUACAUGUAGAAAUAGAUAAUUGAGUUUUCAGAUAAUCUUGAUAGGGACAAAGGAAUCCUCAAAAUGUUGAAAUGUUCUUGAUAAUUGAGUUUUCAGCAAAUCUCUAGAAAAAGCUUGGGAGCUUAUGUAUAUAUGUACCUCUGCCAUGCCCCUAAGAAGGAUAUUGGAGCAUUAUCGGAAUAUGUUUAUUAUGCGGCUCAUGGAUUGAACAAUGAGCCUACCAUACAAGCUCUUGCUUUGAAUACAUUGAACACAUUGAAAUGUUUUGUAAAGGAAGGACCUAGAUUAACCAUACCUGCACGCCAGGAGAUUGAAGUUCUGUUGACUCGCAAAAAGCUUGCAACAAUAGUAUUUUUUUCUGAUGAAACCUUUGAAGAAAUAUUUAUGACACGGCAACAACUGUUGCUGAUGCUGUAGAGAGGAAGAGAUGAUGAUGAUGAUGAUGAUGAUGCUCAAUUUACAGUUAUAUGCUUGGAAUUUAUCAUGUUUAGAAGAGAUGAUGAUACUCAAUUUACACCGAUCUACAAAGAACUGAACAAGAAAUCAAUUAUUCGGCCCUUCGCUUGGCCUUGAUCCCAGCCACAUCAAACUCACAAAUCCAUAGGAUCAUCUAAUGUAGUUCUACGGCAGCGUGGCAACAUCCUCUGUUGGUCCUCAGCAAUGUGUGGCAUCUGACGUUCAUUUGUGCCAUUCGACCUCUUCAUCCUCCUCCUAGUGGCGACGAAUCACCUCAUGGUAGGUACGCACUCUUCUUGUCUACUUCCUUUACAUGCUUCCUAUUUAGGCAAAUCUUUCGAUUCGUGGUGCGAUUCUGUUGCUUCCCUAGAGCAUCGGCCCCUACUGUCACCACUAACUGAUUGUUUCACAAUAUGUAGAUCUACUCCUAAUGGAUUUGAUUCGCUAUAUGCUGAUGCUAUACUCGUUCGUUUGUGCUAUACUUGUAUCUAUUUAAAGUUCACAUUCUUUUCCGUUCUCAUAUUAAGAACCGUUUGCCUAUUCUGUUGCUAUUUUUUUCGGAGUUUUGAUGAAUAUCAAUCAUAAUUUGAAGGGGCAUCGAAUAAUUCUAGCGUUGGGGGUGAUAAUUGGAGUUGAACUUGAGAUGGAUUAAAUGGUAUUUUGUUUGAUUUAAUUGGACAAUAGCAUAUAACUGUCAAUAUAUUCUGUAACUAAGCUAUAGGGUAUAGCUGAAUGCAUAUAUUGUAUUUGAUAUCAGUACAGCAAAGGGAAACUAUUCUAGUUUCCUUUUGUUUUCCUUAACAAUAUUAUCUGAACAAGAGACAUAAUAUUCCAGUUAUCUCCUUUCUUAACUCCCUCAGCCUGAAGAUGCUGCAAGUACCUAAAAGUUUGCUCAAAUAAAGAGACAAAUUGUGAAGGGUUGCAGGGGAAAAGGAAUACAAAGAUUAGAUUCUAGAACUAUUUUUGUUGUGUUUAAAGCUUGUUGUGUUGAAAGGUGUGACUUGUAUCAAGUGUCUUUAAUUUUUAUUUUGCAGUAAUUUUGAUCUAUUAGAAAAUUAUCCAAAGAAUCACGAUGUUAUGAUGUGUAGUAUAUUGAUUAUGUGUGACUCUUUAUUGUGCUUCUUAUAUGCUAGCAAUGUUUGAUCUGAACAA